CAUUCCAUCCCCUAUUUAAUGUUUCACAAGGAAAUUGUAGGUUAGAUUGUAGAAGACAAGAAAAUAGAGCUCUGUACAUAACAGCAUUCAAACACUUGAUAUUUGUGGGUGGUAGAGCAUGCUGUAGGACUUCCCUGGAAUUUUGCAAACUUUUAUUAUCAAUAGAACCCGAAAGUGACCCGUUGGCUAUUAUCUUAGCUAUGGAUUUUUACGCCUUACGAGCAAAAGAAUACAAUUGGCUGAAAGAUUUCACGUUGGAAUGGGAGAGUAGAAAAAACCUGUCGCUGUUGCCGAACUUUGCCUUUUCGGUAGCAGUUGCACAAUUUUACACAUCUAAUGGGGAUACCGCGAAAGCUGACAGUUUGUUACAAGAUGCUCUCAUAAUGUUUCCAGGAGUGCUCAGA